rnacentral:tRNA from 1 species
GGGGAUGUAGCUCAGUGGUAGAGCUUUUGCCUUGUAUGCAUAGGCCCUGGGAUCAAUCCCU